rnacentral:lncRNA from 1 species
UUUUUGGUCGCGCCAUGUCUUUUUGUAUGACAUCAAUCCUUGCAGACAUAUUUGCAGCAUGUGAUCUCGUCACUUUAACACUAUAAGCAUUUGGGAUCAAGAUGAGACUUAGUGGGGACAAACCACGACAAUUUACGUCGUUCCACUUGAACACUUGUGUUCUUAUCUCCCCCUAACGGCGGGAAUAUUGUCUCAUCAAAGUGACAAUCCGUAAUUUAGCGGUGAAUGAGAUCGCCUGACAAGGUUCCUACAUAUGCGGAUUAUAGGUGGAGGUUCAUAUCCAACCUAAAUUUAUUCAUCUCAAAUGACCCAUCAUUGUACGCAAUGGCAAUACGAUUUGGCACCUAGAAAUAACAUCUAGCCGAGCUCAAGGAUUGGAGAUCCGUUUCAAUCCUGCCGAGCUCAAGGAUUGCAAUUUCGUGUCAAUCCUGGUACACAGUCACGAGCUGUAGUACAACAAAAUUCAAUGAUGGUGUGUCAUAGAUUAAUAGUAAAGCUGCAUGCAAAUAUUGCAUAGCCCCAAGACGCAAUAGAAAGAGUGGUGCGCAUCAAUAAUGUUCGAGCGACAAGCUAAAGUUGCUUGGUCGUAGCCUCGGUGAGACCGUAUUGCGUGUGAACAUGGGGUACAGGACACUUCAACUUACAUCCCGAUGAACUUCUUUAAAGAAUGGGUAGUGAGCCCGUAGAAGUAUAAGCAGUAUAAGCAGUAGAUAAUAGUGUAACGCGUGACCAGUGUGUUAACACGUCAACCAACACCAUAAAGCAUAAAAAGGUGUCCGCAAGUUAGUUGUAUCUAUCUACAUAGUUUGAUGUAAGAAUAGAAUGUUCACUUUUGUGUUAUUUAGCGUAGGAGGGUCUCACUCCUUAUUUAGCUAAAGAAUAGGCUUUCAAAAAGAGCAAUGAGCCAAUGCGACAUCGAGGAAAGGCCGGUGCACCUCAAUUGCUUGAGGAAUUGACCGGACGACCUCUAGGAAGUUGGAGUCGUGUUCGGGUGACGUCAAUGUCCCCCGGGUCACCACCAUGCUUCAUGGUGAUGCUAGAUCUCGAAUGUCUUCGUUUUGAGCGAAAGAAUGGAUGUUCAUGAGAAUUUCUCAAAAUUUGGACCAUUAUAUCUCUUCCAGGUUGACCAAUUUGGUCAAACCAAAGCCUAUAUGAGUCGGUGUCCCAAAUAUCAUGUUUGGCGACAACAUGGGAUUCGAUAUUCGAAUCGUAGUGAC